UACGUAGGGUGCAAGCGUGUCCGGAAUUAUUGGGCGUAAAGAGCUCGUAGGCGGUCUGUCACGUCGGCUGUGAAAAUCAGGGCUCAACCCUGGACCUGCAGUCGAUACGGGCAGACUAGAGUCCGGCAGGGGAGACUGGAAUUCCUGGUGUAGCGGUGAAAUGCGCAGAUAUCAGGAGGAACACCGGUGGCGAAGGCGGGUCUCUGGGCCGGAAUACUGACGUGGAGGAGCGAAAGCCGUGGGGAGCGAACAGGA
rnacentral:rRNA from 1 species